AAACAGGCCACAGCCAAGGGGGUGCGCCUAUU
rnacentral:scRNA from 1 species